UUGAAUAGCGAGCCGAAUUUCUAAAGGAAAACGGGGGAACCAUGAGUUUAGGGGUGAAUUCAGCGGAUACAAUCCGCUGAUAGGGUGCCUGUACAUCCGAAUCCGACAGCUAACCUCGUAGGCUUGAAUUACAGGAACC
rnacentral:sRNA from 1 species